rnacentral:rRNA from 1 species
UUGCCCCAGUAACGGCGAGUGAAGCGGCAACAGCUCAAAUUUGAAAUCUGGCCUUGGCCCGAGUUGUAAUUUGUAGAGGAUGCUUCGGGCGCGGCGCCCUCCGAGUUCCCUGGAACGGGACGCCACAGAGGGUGAGAGCCCCGUAUGGUCGGAUGCCCAGCCCGUGUGAAGCUCCUUCGACGAGUCGAGUAGUUUGGGAAUGCUGCUCAAAAUGGGAGGUACAUUUCUUCUAAAGCUAAAUACCGGCCAGAGACCGAUAGCGCACAAGUAGAGUGAUCGAAAGAUGAAAAGCACUUUGAAAAGAGGGUUAAACAGCACGUGAAAUUGUUGAAAGGGAAGCGUUUGCGACCAGACUCGGGCGCGGGGGAUCAGCCGGCGUUCUCGCCGGUGCACUCCGCCGUGCCCGGGCCAGCAUCGGUUCUCGCGGUGGGAUAAAGGCUCCGGGAACGUGGCUCCUCCGGGAGUGUUAUAGCCCGCCGCACAAUACCGCCGGGGGGACCGAGGUACGCGCUCCGCAAGGAUGCUGGCGUAAUGGUCGUCAACGACCCGUCUUGAAACACGGACCAAGGAGUCAAGCAUUAGGGCGAGUGUAUGGGUGCCAAACCCGCACGCGUAAUGAAAGUGAACGUAGGUGAGACUUCGCGCAUCAUCGACCGAUCCUGAUGUUCUCGGAUGGAUUUGAGUAAAAGCCUUACCGCUUGGACCGAAAGAUGGUGAACUAUGCCUGUAUAGGGGGAAGCCAGAGGAAACUCUGGUGGAGGCUCCCAGCGGUUCUUACGUGCAAAUCGAUCGUCAAAUAUGGGCAUGGGGGCGAAAGACUAAUCGAACGUCU